rnacentral:tRNA from 1 species
GAAUUCGUGGUGUAACGGUAGCACACUGGGCUCGUAUUCGACAGGUCCAGGUUUGAGUUCCGGCGGGUUCG